rnacentral:tRNA from 1 species
GCCUUCGUGGUGUAGUGGUCAGCACGCUCGGUGCGCAACUGAGAGGUCCGUGGUUCGAUUCCUGGCGAAGGCG